CUUGCAUGAUGAUGUCCACUUCUAGGUCCGUGUUUCUGACAGACUGUGAUUUUUAUUGUGGAAGUUCUGACAGG
ensembl:snoRNA SNORD18 Small nucleolar RNA SNORD18